CAACAAUUCCAGCCUGUUGAGAUUAAGCUGAGUCUAAUAAAAAUAAGUCAAAGGGAGGCAGUGAACUAGCAAGAGUCCACUUAGUUUCUUUUUCUGAAUAGUAAGAGUCCAUCAAGUUCUAUUAAUAACAUAGAACCACAGAGAUUACCCCUUAUCACACCCCCCAGACACAAACCCAUCGACUAACUUCGUCCCAGCAAAGAAUGCUAUCAAUUACUGUUGCUGUGCUUGGUGGUGCCUUUCCAAAAUCAUCCUGGUUGAAAGCUGACGACUCCUCAAACAUGCCAGAGAUGAUUUUCAAUUGAUCUUGUAACUUCUCAACAUCUUCAGUGGCCAUGUUGCCGGUAAUUGCCCCCUUGUCAUCAAACUUGCUCCGUUAGCCUUAUCUGUCUCACUGAGUCUCCAUGAGCAGAAGCAAUGAUUCCAAGGACAAAUUUAUAACAACUUGACAUAUCAUAGAGUGGACCUAGCGGAAAAGUUCUACAUUUUAAAGAGUAACAUGCCCAAUGACAGUGAUUGAGAGCGAUUGUAAUGUGCUACUUUUAGAUCACUUGUAAAUUCUCCAUUCGGAUUUAUGGAUGUUGUGAACCACUUCUUCAUAGAUCAUGUAUGGGUGGAAUCAAACUAAGAAAAUGAGAGAGAAAAUAAUAUAACUUCAUUUCUAUAAUAUGCAUUCAUUACCAGACAUGAAUACCUUCAUAUUCAAAAUGAUAGAUCACCUCCAUAAUUCACCUAAUGUCCUCUUUUCAUUAAUUUAGGCAUCUAUUUCCAUAAUUUAAAAUUCAGUGGUGCUAACUCAGCAUUUCAAGCAAAAGAGCCACAAAAAUACCAAGUAGAGCUCCUUCAUCUCCAUUAGGCUGAUCUUCUUAUUCAAACCUGACCCUAAACGUGCAUCAAACCAGUUUGGCAAGCACACCUUGGGUAAUAAAAAAAAGACCACGUAGAUUUUCCUUCCAUAAAACCCAACGGAACUUAGGAAGGAUUAAAGUGGAAGAUGUGACAAGUUUUAGGACUUAAAUGCACAAAAUGAAAGUGUUAGAUCUCGUGUGCAUUAUCU